UUUCUUGAUUCAAAAUUAUCUUCUUCCACUAAUUAACCAUCAACAUGAAACCCCAAAGCAGUUCUAUCUUCUUAACUACUACCAUAAUUUUGCUAUUAAUUAGCACCACACCAAAUGCACAAGCCACUAGGGUUCUCUUAGAAAAAAGAGUUAGAGGGAUAAAUAACAAAAAUCUUUUGUUAUCAUCUCUGUAUAAUCCCGUUCACACUCCCAAGCCAAACCCCGGCACCGGAAGUAGCGGCACCGCCAGUCGAGCGGUGGUAAUGGAGAAGAACUUUGCCGGUCGUAGUAGGGUUGCUCGUUCAUAUUCUCCUCCCACUCAGGCAGAAUAUUGAACUAGACGAGUUUAAAUGGAGUAACAAAUAAAUAGUAAAUUUCACAUAGUCGAGCCCAAUUGAGGCGGUAGCAGUUUUUCUUUUUUCAAACUAUCCAACUAGAAGCCCUGUCAAUAAUACAAGAUCAUUCAUUCUUUAUUUCAUUAUUUUAUUGUUUUACAUGUAAUCCCUUAUCUUGCUUCACGAUAGAAGCAAAUCCAAAUAAUGAAAAGAAUACUACAUUUGAAUUAUAUUACGUAUUUCUUUUAUAUAGAUUUUACUAUAGUAGGUUACUUCCUUGUCCCAGUUUUAAAUA
rnacentral:lncRNA from 1 species